GAAUUUUUCCACUUCAAGCCUAGCUGAUCCCAUUUCUAAGAUUAAAGAAAGCAGUGAAAGCUCUGAUACCAAUUUGUUGGACCAAGACCAGUAAAUAACUAAUCUCAAUCCCCCAAAAUCCACUCGACUUAGCCUUAAUCAAAGAACUAAUUAAGAUCAACCAAUGCUACGUGGAACUACUUAUCGAAAUCAACAGAUAUCAAACAAAAGAAAACAUAGAAACAAUCUCACACCAACACAAAAGGGUUAAGCGGUUCAGCCACCAAGUGACCUACAUCUACUGUGAAAAAGAGAAAGAGCCUUUACUGAUUUAGUGUUUACAAGAUACAAGAUGCCUGAGAAAACUAUCACACGCUUAGAUAAUACAACAAUGAAAUGAGGACGACUUAUAUACACGCAUGAAUUGCUUUAGAAACAACCCCUAGAAACCAGCUCACCAGGCCUGGAUUUGUUGGUAACAAACCCAGAAAUUUCCCGUUGAUCUUAACAACAUUAACAACCAUUCAAACUGGCUUCAAUACACGUGUAGAAAUUUCACUCAAAACGCAGCCUUCUUCAGUCGUUUAGGAUAAGUAAAGCAUGUGCAAUAUCAUGUGCUUAACUUAUUCAUUUGGCUGAUCCACCAGGCUUGUCAUACGGCUCACUUGUGUCACAUAACCGACAUAUCAUCCAGUCCUGAAACUCAAGACUGAUAUGUCAUAUUCAACUACAAAUUUAGAUUUGCAGUUCACUUCUCAACAAAUUCAUUUGCAAAACCCAGAAUAUUUUUCAUCAAGUAUAAAGUAAACAAAAAAUCAAAUGUUUGCAUGAACUUCAAGGCUGAAUUUGCUUUAAAUCUUUGCUCAGAAUUUGAUGCAUCAUUUGCAAUAAUCUCAAGCACAUUAAUUGUGGAUGAGAACAUGGUAAUAAUGCUUAUUAAUGUACCGUAAUGUGAGCUCCAUCGUGUGUCGCCAGAACGCUUUAAAGUAAUCUCUUGAUUCAUGCCUUGUUCGCUUUGAAGCUCGCCCGUUUUAAGUGCUUCAAUAACUGCAACAAUAUGCUUCUCUUUAAGGAUAUCAAAUCGUUUAGAUAAGGCUGCAACAAUGUUAAUAACUUUAGCAACUAAACUGAACAGAUCAUUAACUUCUUGGUGCUUUUUGCCACAGAAACAAGGGCCAACUAUAAUUGAUGGGCAAAACAAUGAAUGUAAUAAGCUGAUUCAUUCUCUUUUAGAAUGAGUGUUUUCAAACCAUUAAGUUUGCCUUGCAUGUUACUAGCACCAUCAUAUCCUUGCUUAAUCCAUGUCUAGCUAAUAUUGUGUCGAGUGAUGCUUUGAGAGAGACAGCUUUGGUAUCAAUAACAUGUUCAAUACCAUAAAACGCUCAACCACAUGUCCUCUUUUAUCCACAUAACGCAACACAGCUGCCAUUUGGUCUUUUGUGGAUAUGUCACGAGAUUCAUCAAUCAUAACAGAAAAUAAAGAGUCACCAAUUUCUUUAAUGAUAGCUCUAGAAAUUUCAGCUGAACAAACACUUACAAUUUGUUUCUGAAUAUCAGGGGAUGUCAUUUGGAGAUUUGUUGGAGCAUUGUUGAAAAUAACACCUUUAAUUUUCUCAUUGUGAUCAGCAAGAAAUUGUAAAAGCUCAAGAAAGUUUCCUCUACUAUUUGAGCUUUGAGAUUCAUUAUUACCACGAAAUGCAAGGCCUUGUCUCAAAAGAAAUCGAAUGCAGUCAAUUACAGCAGUUAAACAAAGUCGGUACUCCCUUUUUAAUUUUUUUAGAAUGGUUAAAGAAAAAUUUAGCAACAUGUGCCUUUUGAUUCAUUAAUGAUUCACAACGACGCCUAGCUAUAUUAUGAGCACUAUUUACACCACCAAUAUGUUGUCUCAACAUUUCUUUUUUCUUCCAAUUUCUAAACCAUUCACCAAUAAAGCAUGGACCAACCCCUUGACUACCAUUUUCUUCUCUGAAAACAUAACAAUAAAGACAAAAAGUUGCCUCCUUUACUAUACUAUAUUCUAACCAAUCAAGAUAAUUAUCAAACCAACUCCGAACAAAUCGUCGUGAUUUUUCUCCUAACAACCUAGUAGGAAAAUCAUGGCCCUGAGGUUGAAAAGGACCUAUUUACAAAUAUGCUCUUCGAACUUCAUCUUGAAUAUUAGAAUCUAACUUUGAAAUUGCUGUUCGUAAACCGGGAUCCCUUGGAAGAUCAUGCAAAUUAAGACUAACUUUUUCUUUUGAAUUGCCACUCAUUUUUCCUAAUGAGGUUGCAGUUGCUGAAUUCUUUCUUAAAUAUUUAUCCAUGACUGUUCAAAGAAAUAUAUUUAUCGAAUAAGUAUGAUAUUUAUCAUUCAAAGAAAAAUUUCUUCAUAAAAAAUAUACAUGAAAAUUACAGUUACAGAACUAGACAAAAUAUUAUAGGUCUUCAUUAAAAUUUCAUUGUAUAGUGUACUAAUCUUAAUAAAUUAAUUUGUUCUUAAAUCUUUUAAUAAUGGCAAAAAUAUUCAUCUAUGGCAACACAAAAAUCAAACAUGAAUAUAUAAUAAAAUUAGCAAUUUUAAAAUGUAAAAAACAAUGAAAUAAUAAAAACUUAGGAUUAAUAAACUUACAAUUUUAAAACAUCAAGCGACACAAAUGAAGAAAUUGAGAAGAAAUUCACGCACUGGUGACAACUAAUAAGCACUGCAAAUUGCCUAAUCUGCUAUGGAUUCCACCCACCACACUUUAUUCCAUGGAAGAGACGAAAGAAAGAGUAAAG
rnacentral:lncRNA from 1 species